rnacentral:rRNA from 1 species
GACAGAGGGUGCAAACGUUGUUCGGAAUUACUGGGCGUAAAGCGCGUGUAGGCUGCUUCGCAAGUCGGGUGUGAAAGCCCUGGGCUCAACCUAGGAAGUGCACUCGAAACUGCGAAGCUUGAGUCCUGGAGAGGAAGGCGGAAUUCUCGGUGUAGAGGUGAAAUUCGUAGAUAUCGAGAGGAACACCGGUGGCGAAGGCGGCCUUCUGGACAGAUACUGACGCUGAAACACGAAAGCGUGGGGAGCAAACAGG